rnacentral:lncRNA from 1 species
GCAGAGUGUCACGCGCCUGUCCGUUGCGACUGGCGAAAAAGUGGAGGAAACCGUUUACAUAUUUGUCGAGUCAAACUUGGGACGAAAUUGCAAAGCGGGAAGUAUCUAGGUCCUAGCCUACUGUAGAGUUACGCGCAUUCAUUAUAAAAACCAAGACUUGAGUUAUACGUUUCUUAUAUAAUUUGACAACCUCAAAAAUAUGUUUAAAACAAAAACGUCGGCCACCGGCACCGCUCCAGACAGAUUUUUGAGGAAAAGAAAAUGAGCAAAUCGCCACGAUCUCCAUCUAAUCUAGAAUCUUAAAACAAAGGUGUCUGACAGAAAUACAUAUGUGAAAAACGGAACUGGUUCUGAACGGUCAUUAAAAAUAACAGCUUCAACGCAAAUCAGGUGCUUGUUUACUUUCGCCUUCGCACGGGCCCCAGCGGACUCUUCGCACCCAUCCCGCUGCCAAGUGCUGUAGGCGCAGAGAGUAGAAAGACUCCAUUCGGAAGCAUUAAAGAGACAAUCGACUCCCCUUGCUGCAGAGCCUUGGCUGUCUGGAUCAUCCUGCGGGCUGUCACCGUCGGCAUGUCAGCCAGUCACACAGCUACGAAUAGAGCCGCGUGCUUCUUGCUCACUAACAAUCAGUGGCACCAUAUUUAGCAAGGUGUAGCGUGCCCACCAUUCCCAGGUAUCGCAGCGUACUGUACCGCAUUCAAGCAGCUGCAGCCCAGGCACUAAGUGAAUCGGUUUGCCAAAGGUCUGGAAACCCAAGUGGUUUGUGGACAUCGGGGUCGGCAGUCUGAACGAUGCUGCAUAUACCGGUUGGCAGUGACUCGAAAGCGUCUGUCUGCUUUCGGUCGUAAACAUCUGUCUGCUUUUUAUUCCUUCUUUUUUUUUUAAAUUCUAAAAUAAAAAAUUUGGAAUCUCGUGUAUUUUAAUUAAA